AUGGAACUAGGUUACACCGAGUAUUUCCCUUUAUAAUCUGCCUUAACGCUUGUGUCAAACUACAACUACAGCAAAGAUAUGGGAAGACUAUAAUUUCAUUUUUGCAGUGAAAGUUAGAAUGAAUGUGUAGCAAAGAACAGCAACACUUUCCCCACAACCCAAAAUUUGGUUGAUUAAAAAAAUGCCUGCUAACUUUAGGAAAACAAUCUCAUUGGUUGGUAUGUAUUUAAAGAGAUGUCAUUAUGCAUAAAAUGACAGAGUGGCAUCUCCCUAAAAGAACACAAAACAGAUGAAAAUGCUACAUACAAGACAAAUGUGCAUUUUGGCUGCCCCUUUCAUGCCAAAAUAAAAUUGGAGGAGAAAAAAUAAAAGAAGAGAACCCCUCAAUAACCUCAUUUUCUGAAAAAAGUAUUAAAAAAAUCUAGCCUUUCAAACAAAUCACUGAUUGGAUUCACCAACAUAAGGCCUGGAAUUAUUGCUCUAAAUUACAUGGUUAGAGCUGACUGAAAAUUUAAGGCACAAUUUGACAACAAUUAUAAUCAUUUCCUUUUAUUCUCAUGUGGCAGGCAUAUGCAUGGCACUUCUGCCACUGAUGCUAUGGAUGCAGAUAGCUACUUUGAUUAAAGAGCUCAAAAAGUUUUACAUUUUUUAACUAACUCUCACAAUACCCCUGUGAGGUAGGUAAUAUAGCGUCCCCAUUACAGAGAUGUAUAAACUGGGGCAGAGAGAGAAAAGGGCUAUGAGACUUGUCUAAGGUGACAAAGGGAGAAAGAGGUAGAGCUGCAAACAGAAUCCAGGAGUUCUGAUUCCCAGCACUGGACUCUAAAGACUGCAAAAAUGUAAAGAGGAUAUCACCAUUUUGGGUUUGGUCUUUUCUUUUUUUUUAGAUUUAGGAAUAACCAGGAAGACACACAAACAACAAAAAGAAAGUUUCAGAUUAGCCCCGUUAGCAUAGCUGAAAAAUCAAUGGGUGGUUGGUUAUACAUGGUUUAAUGCCAAAAAGAUUGAGAAUGCAGCAGCACAGAAAUGAAGACAGGACAAGUAUAAUGAAAACUGCACUGGUUACCUACUGUUGCCUAUACCUUUAAUUAGUCAUAGUCUCAGGACAAUCUAAAAUGUGUAUAUUAUUUUUAUAUAUGUAGUUCCUAACUGUUCUACUGAGUUUUCAAUAGUUAGUGUCUCUAAAAACAAAGCUGAGAACUUCUGUGUUCACCAUGAACCCUAGAUUACUAUGGACUCACCAGUGGAGUUGGAUUGAUUUACAGAUGGCUUAAGGAGAGGUGCAGUAUUGCCAGUCACAUUUCAUUUACAAUGCACAAGGGCUCUAGCAUCAAGACAGCCAAACAACUGUGUCAACUGGAAACUUGAAAUGCCGAGUAGGAACAGCAAUCCUUCUGGAAAUAUAUAUAUGGAAAACAGCCUUUCCCAAGCCCAAAGGAAUGAUGCUAGGGUGUGAGGUUCAACCAGAGUUUAUCUUGGUGAGCAUAAUCUACUCACAAUCUUCAAUACUUGAAACAAAGGACAACUGACAUUGUCAUCAUCUUGGCACCAGCCUGGGCAUGGUUUGAAGGGAGAAGACAAAACCUGAGUCCAACAGAAGUAACACUGUUAUUCCCAGAAAAGUCACAUUAUUCGGAUUUUUAGUAACUAGGAAAAUGGUGUCUGCACAGGAAGUAGAGCAAAUCAGAAAACAAGAAAGAUUUUGUGAAAAGUUUCAAAAUGUGCUUGUUUCAUAACGUCCAGAACAGAUCCAUUUUCCACGAACAUUUUUGUGACAUUUUUACAGGUUUUUUUUUUACCAUUCAGUUUUUGAAAUCAUUACCGAAAACUUUUGUUUAUUAAAAAUGGUUUUGAGUAAGAAAACUUCAUUUUUGGUAAAUGAAAAACUGAGAACCAUUUCAAAAACUAUGAGGAUAAAAAUGUCAACAACAUAUUGAUUAAACUAUUAACAACAACUAUUGUGAAAGAUAUUGUGAGAACAGAAAAUAGACAAUUUUCCCCAAAAAGUAUUGAAGAAAAAAGGUCAAUUUCUCAACAAAAUAGAAGUUUAGUGUAAAACAUUUUGACCAGCUUUAACAGAAGUAAUGUUCUCAGAGUCCUUAUAUCAAUUCACGCUUUACUAACUUCUAUGUGGCCUUAGGUAGUCCUCUCCAUCUCUUUGCAGUAGAUCCUCAAAAUCAACAUGCAACUAGUGUUUCCCAUGUAGAAUUUCACCACCCAAAUCCACAGCACACAUCCUUAUGCGUCAACCCUGAUUUAUAGUGUUGAUAUCUAUAUAAAGCGUGAUCAGCACUACUUGAUGAACUAAUAUCAAAUCAGCCCACAGAAUCAAACACAGGAACCAGACAUUAAUAAAAGGCAAGUAGAAAACCAAAAAAACCCCCUCUGAGCUGUUCAGUUUCUAGACAAAAAAAGGGGAAUCACGGAAUUUUAUGUUCUAAACUGGAGUAAAGCAAAGUGACAAGAUUUCCCUCUCUUUUCCUCCCUCCCCCAUGGAUCUUGAUGAUGGGAUUUUCUGGGUUGGAGGCUUAGGGCACAAAAUGUGUGUUACUAGACUGGAUUUAAUUGGUGAUUGUGUGCACCGGUCUCCACACACAAUAUCUAUAUCGAGAACUCUUUUAUGCUUGUAGGAUGUGUAAUUCACCCCCGGAUAAUGAGCUAACCCAAGGCCUAUGUCACACUUAAUUCCUGCUUCUGAUGUAUGUGUGUAGAGCUCACCCUGGCACACGUUUCGCUUCCCCCAUGUCUCUAGGACUAAGUCAUUCCCCAAGUGUUUUGCAGCUGUGAUAAAAAUUUACCAAUGAUUUAAAAAAAAUCAUAAUGAAAGGUGCAUUAUCUAAAGCUGUGAUGUUGUCUUCUGCUUUAAAAGGCAACAUUCAGGCAACAAUUAAAAUAAAAUAAUAAAUGUCAAUAAAGCAAAUUACAUUAACAAAAUACGAUCAUUAACUUUGAUGAUGUCACUAGGGAUUUGGCUGUAACCAAGGCAACCAAAUCUGAUGUAGUAAAUUCAAGCAUCUGUUUAUGUCCCAUUGAGGAAUGGAUUUAAGCAUGUGCUGAAUAUUAAGUACAUGUUUAAAUACUUUCCAGAACCAAGGCUUAAACAAGGGCUUGUUCCUGAACCCCAAACUCCCAAUGAGGUGACCUGAAACACAGGAUCAAGCCCUAAUUUCACACAAAUGCUAGAAAAGCCAAAGAACUACCAGCAAAAAAUUGGCAGAUUGAAAUAGAAAGGUCUAGGUGAUGUUCACAUUCCUAGUCAAAGGAAAAUUGCUGAAUUUCAAUGCGUCAGCAAACAACGUGAGUAUUUAUCGUGACUUUAGAAGUGUACCUUAAAGGAACAAGGUCUCUUUGGUAAAAAAAAAAUGCUUCUUCUUUGGAAUAGAUAAAUGAGGAUAUGUAUUAAAUACAUGAUAAAGAUUGUGGCUAAGCAAUAUUUUGUUGGUGCUUUAGGGCAAUGCCAUGAUUAAAGAUCCACCAGCACUUCCACUUUAAACCCUCGAGUAUUGGGGCUGAAAAUUUGACAGGCAGAUGGGUCAUGACAGAGACUCUGUGUGUGUGUGUGCACGCGCGCGCAAGUGUGUAUCUUCCAAAAUAUAUUUAUAGGAGUUUAGGCAUCACAUACGAACGCAUUUUUUAGAAAAUACUCCAGGCACUUAUUCACUCACUCAAAUGGGCAACUGGCUUUGGUUAUUUUAGCGGGAAAAAACAAAUUAAAAUAAUAGUAUUAUUCCGAUAUUUCAAGCCUGAAAAUUAGCUACUGUACAUACAAUGAGAACAACAUUCUCCCUUCUCCUUCCAUCCAAGAAGGUCAAAAUGCUUGAGAAACUUUGAUCUAAGAGCCCCCCCCAACCAAAUCCAAAGAACACCCUAAAAAUGAAAGUUCAGAUCUAGACCUCUUGGCUAGCUCUUGGUGCUGGAAUGGGCUGCUCCAAAACCACAAACCCAACUAAACUUUUUCUGAAAAGGAGGAUCUGGAUUUGAACUUAUGCAGUGUUGGCCAAGCUAAAAUUACUUAAUUUAGUCACUUCACUUCCCUGGGAAAUUAGUAAAAAUUAUCAAGCUCUGUUGUGAAGUGGGGUAGACAGAGAGGUUAAGUGACUUGCUCAAAAUUGCACAGUGAGUCUGUGGCAGGGGCACUGAAAGAACCCAGGAAUCCAGACUUCUGGUCUCCCUCCUCUAAUUGCUAGACCACAUUCCCUUUUCCUAAUUACAGUAGCUAAUUCUCACCACUUUCUAAUAUGGCACUCAGUGUGAUAGAGAGACUGACUUAAACCUACAAGGACACACAAGUUCAGAGCUAUAGUUGCUACAUCAGUGCCAUGGUCUGUUGUAUACAUCACAUCCCCAGUGUGCUUUGGAGAGAAGAUGCUCAGAAACCCAGUUCUAAGGCAUGAUGGAAUGUGUGAUAAAGCGAUAUUAGCCACCCGCACUCUGAACUUCCAUGCUUUGGCAGAUUCAGUUCAGACAAGUUAUAUAAUGCUAGCAAGCUCAAAAUUACCUUAGGUGCCAGGGCUAAUGACCAGUAGAACAAAUGGAACCUAUUAGAAGUCAUGUC